rnacentral:rRNA from 1 species
AGAGUUUGAUCCUGGCUCAGGACGAACGCUGGCGGCGUGCCUAAAACAUGCAAGUCGAACGGUGUAGCAAUACACAGUGGCGAACGGCGGAGUAAUACAUGAACAACGUGCCCUAAAGACUGGGAUAGUCAGGGGAAACCCUGGGUAAUACCAGAUGUGGCCGUUUCUUGGCAUCAAGAGACGAUUAAAAGGUUUUUCGCUUUAGGAGCGGUUCAUGGCCUAUCAGGUAGUUGGUGAGGUAACGGCUCACCAAGCCGACGACGGGUAGCGGGUCUGAGAGGAUGAUCCGCUCGAGUGGGACUGAGACACGGCCCACACACCUACGGGUGGCAGCAGUUGGGAAUCUUGCACAAUGGGGGAAACCCUGAUGCAGCGACGCCGCGUGGAGGAUGAAGGAUCUAGGUCUGUAAACUCCUUUAUCAGGGAAAGACUUAGGACGGUACCCUGAGAAUAAGGACCGGCUAACUACGUGCCAGCCGCCGCGGUAAUAC